AAAGGUUCGCUUAGCCGCGAUUAAUUGGGAACUGGGGUGUGAAUCCCCGACUGUCCCGCAGCAGUGAACUCCAUUAUGGCUCCUAAGCAUAAACGCCAUUGAGAAUUCUUGAGAAGGCGCUUGGGAGUGGAGGAAAGUCUGAAGACCAGCCUUUUUCGGU
rnacentral:ncRNA from 1 species